GUGAGGAAUUUUCCGCAAUGGGCGAAAGCCUGACGGAGCAAUGCCGCGUGAAGGAUGAAGGCCUAUGGGUUGUAAACUUCUUUUCUUAGAGAAGAAUAUUGACGGUAUCUGAGGAAUAAGCAUCGGCUAACUCUGUGCCAGCAGCCGCGGUAAGACAGAGGAUGCAAGCGUUAUCCGGAAUGAUUGGGCGUAAAGCGUCUGUAGGUGGAUUCAAAAGUCUCCUGUGAAAGAUCAGGGCUUAACCCUGGGCCGGCAGGAUAAACUCUGAGGGUAGAGUUUGGUAGGGGCAGAGGGAAUUCCCGGUGGAGCGGUGAAAUGCGUAGAGAUCGGGAGGAACAACAAAGGCGAAAGCACUCUGCUGGGCCACAACUGACACUGAGAGACGAAAGCGAGGGGAGCAAAAGGGAUUAGAAACCCCUGUAGUCC
rnacentral:rRNA from 1 species